CUGGCGCGCUCCGGACCCCGACCCUAGGAGGAAAGUCCGAAGACGCUGGAUCCGUGAGCGCCACCAGAAGGGCCCUGUCUGGGGUCCCGGCGCCGGUUCUGCGCCCUGCGGCUCCUCUCGCCACCUCCCACACACUUCGUCCCUCACUUUCCUAAAACCAACCACCUCAGCUCGGCUGUUGGCAGCAACAGCAGUGGCAGCAGCGACGGCAAAGUGGCGGCUGAGGCCGAGGCACCUCGUGGGCUCGUGUCCAUGCCGGGCCAGAUGAAGGGAAAGGCCGGGAAGUGGGGAGCCGGGGGUGCCCUGAAAGCUCAGAGGCGACCGACGGCGAAGGUUCCAGGUCAACUUGUGCCCGAAGCUUUGCUUUUCGCAGUUGGCCCAGUUUGGGGGAGGGGGUAGGAACAGGGGCCCGACCAGCGUGCGGGGUGUGCGAAUCUUAGCUCUCCAAAAGCUGGGACCCCCUUCGAUUAUCCAUGCUGCCCCGAGAAACUCCUAGGCUAAUAGUCUGAGGGAGGAGAUAAAGCCCUUUCUUCUCCCGGGAAAGUGCAGCGGAGCGCGGUGAGGACCCGCUCAGUGGAAUCGGCAGAGGCGGGAGCUGUCCUUAUCAAUUCGAGCUCAUUUCCCUCAACCUGGCCCUGCCCGCUUCCCCGCUUCGCAAACUGUUGGCUUCCCCGUCACCACUCAGUUUGGCUAAUUUUCCAGAGAUGGCUUUAAACCUGGCAGGAGAAUCCUUCCACCACCGCCACCCCCACCCGGUGGCCCCCUCUCCCCCGUCUCGCUCAUUUCAAAGCGCGGAAGUUCAGGCAUCAAUCUCCCCUUCCAGCGAGGGGCGGCACCGAGGACUCAGGGGGAGGAAGUGGGGCUGCGAGGAC
rnacentral:lncRNA from 1 species